AUUCCCUCAAGUGGUACAGAAGGUUAGUGCUGCAUGAAGCUGUUUGGGUUUGCAGGUCUGGAGCCAUAACCUGCCUGCUCCUACUUUCCAUAUGUUUAGGGUCUACCUGGGAAGGAUGGAAUUCCCGGGCUGCCGGGCAGACCGGGGCGGACAGGUCCUCCUGGUCCCCCUGGACUCAUGGGUCUCCCUGGCAUCCAAGGUGAUACUGGCUCUCCUGGCUAUCCUGGACCAGCGGGGCCAAAAGGAGAGAGAGGCGAACCAGGCUAUGUCCUGGGAGGAGUAGAGGUGAUUCCUGGCCGAAAUGGGCAGCCUGGCCCCCCUGGACAGAAAGGGCAGCCGGGGGUUCCUGGGGUAGCAGGACCACCAGGUUUACCAGGGCCACAGGGGCCACCAGGGAUCUCCAUCAAGGGUGAACACGGGGAUUCAGGUACCAGGGGCCCUCGUGGGAGGAAUGGCCUCAAGGGUGACAGAGGAGGAAUGGGAGAGCCGGGGAAACCUGGGUUGCCAGGCCCAGUAGGGCUAGAUGGUGUUCCUGGAUUGCCUGGACCAAGGGGAGAAAAGGUCACUAUUCAGAUGCUUGCAGGAUCCACCAGCCCAAGGGGGAGCUGAGAAUAGCUGAGACAAAGUAAUAACAGGGUAGACAUGUGGG
ensembl:lncRNA